UGUUUACCCCCCCCACUCACCCUCCCCCAAUACGCGCAAUGGAUGUGGGUUGUGAAGUUGACGCGCGCCCUGCGAGCGCUCUCUCGCGAAACCGGUUUGGCGAGCGGCAUGUUUCUCCCACCAAGCUCCAGUUCCUCCGAAAGCCACCGAUUGUCCACCCCUUACCUAACGUCUCCUCCUCGUGGCCAGUCCUCGCGGGCUGCCAUCCCUUCAACAAUCUCGUCCAUCGGGCCUCAUCUGCUCCAUCGUGGGGCGUGUGUGGCUCAUGGCUGCCGCAGGAGAUGAACACCGCUCGAAGGAGAUGAAUGCUUUGCCGUCAAUAAGUUCACACGUUUUGCUGAGCGGGUGAUCGCGGCGCACCUCGGACACGGAGCACGACCUCGUGCCAUUUGCCAGCUCAUCUGGAGUCAACAUCCUCGGUCCACUCAACAUCCUCCGCAGUCUCUCCUCUAGACACCAUUUGUCCUGCACAAGUCACAUCUCUGGAUCCCCACCAACCUAUGGGCCUCUUUGUGAGUACAUAAACUAAACUAUUUAUUUUACUCUUUGGUUAUUUCUGUGAAGUCACGUGACUUUACUGAAAUAACCAAUGUCA